CGUACGGAAGUAAAGUAUUUAUCGUCUUUGAGAGCACGCCUGCCGUCCUAUCAGCUUAGUUGGGUAGGGGUAAAAGCCUACCGAAGGCUCUGACGGGUAGGGGGUGUGAGAGCAUGACCCCCAACAUUGGGACUGAGACACUGCCCAAACUCCUACGGGAGGCUGCAGUCGAGAAUAUUCGUCAAUGGGCGAAAGCCUGAACGAGCGAUGCCGCGUGUAGGAUGAAGGCCUUCGGGUCGUAAACUACUUUUCAGGGAAGAAUUUCGAUGACGGUACCUGGAGAAUAAGAGGUUACUAACUCUGUG
rnacentral:rRNA from 1 species